rnacentral:misc_RNA from 1 species
UCCGGUUUGUCACCGGCAGUCUCGCAUGAGUCCCCGGCCGAACCGCUGGCAACAUGCGACGAGGGUUGCGCUCGUUGCGGGACUUAACCCAACAUCUCACGACACGAGCUGACGACAGCCAUGCAGCACCUGUGCAUGGAUCCCGAAGGAGGCCCCUCGUUUCUGAGGGGUUUCCCAUGCAUGUCAAGCCUAGGUAAGGUUCUUCGCGUUGCGUCGAAUUAAACCACAUGCUCCACCGCUUGUGCGGGCCCCCGUCAAUUCCUUUGAGUUUCAGCCUUGCGGCCGUACUCCCCAGGCGGGGUGCUUAAUGUGUUGACUUCGGCACAGCAGGGGUCGAUACCCGCUACACCAAGCACUCAUCGUUUACGGCGUGGACUAC